AUCAGCUAGGGGGAGGCUGUGUAGUUGCAAGCUCACCCGGUCGCUGACGCUGCUCGCUCCAUCGACUCGCGUUACACAGAUACUUCUCAACAUGGCUUUCUGAUUUUUAGCAAUGAUGUGGCUGCUGGUCUUGCUGGGGUUUUUGCCGCUUCUGGGAGCUCUGCCAGACGUAAUUAAAAUCGGUGGCCUGUUUCACCCGGCGGAUGACAAGCAAGAGGUGGCUUUCCGAUAUGCUGUGGAGAGGAUCAACGCUGACAGCACAGUCCUGCCGAGGUCUAGACUGUCUGCACAGGUGGAGAAGAUAUCUCCUCAAGACAGCUUCCAUGCUUCCAAGAGAGUGUGUCACCUUCUGCGAAGUGGAGUGGCAGCUAUAUUUGGCCCUCAGUCAGGCCAGACUGCCAGUCAUGUCCAGUCCAUCUGUGACACCAUGGAGAUACCUCACUUGGAGACUCGCUGGGACUACAGGUUGAGACGGGAAAGUUGCCUCGUCAACCUGUAUCCUCACCCCACCACACUCUCCAAGGCUUACGUAGACUUGGUGCAAGCCUGGGGAUGGAAGUCUUUCACAAUAAUCUAUGAAAACAAUGAAGGUUUGGUGAGACUGCAGGAGCUGCUGAAAGCACACGGACCUUCAGAGUUUCCGAUUGCCGUCAGACAGCUAGGAGAAGGAACUGACUACAGACCAUUGCUGAAACAGAUCAAAAACUCUGCUGAGUCACACAUUGUCCUUGAUUGCUCUACAGAGAAAAUAUACAAUGUACUGAAGCAAGCUCAGCAGAUUGGAAUGAUGAGUGACUACCACAGUUAUCUCAUCACCUCCCUGGACCUGCACAGUGUGGACUUGGAAGAGUUCAAGUACGGAGGAACCAACAUCACAGCACUGAGACUUGUGGACCCAGAGAAACCAGAUCUGCAGAAGGUGGUGAGGGACUGGACCAGUGGAGAGCAGAGACAGGGCCGCAAGAUAGACAUGGGUGCUCACCACACUGGGAAUCUCACUUUUAUAAAGACGGAGACAGCUCUGAUGUACGAUGCUGUGCACUUAUUCGCCAAGGCUCUCCACGACCUGGACAGCAGUCAGAGGAUCGACAUCAAACCUCUCAGCUGUGAUGCAGUCGACACCUGGCCCCAUGGCUACAGCCUCAUCAAUUACAUGAAAAUUGUGGAAAUGAGGGGAUUGACAGGUGUUAUAAAGUUUGAUAAUCAAGGCUUCAGGUCAAAUUUUGUACUUGACAUUGUGGAACUCACCAAGGAGGGACUGACUAAGAUCGGCACUUGGAACUCUACUGAAGGAGUGAACUUUACCAGAACUUAUGGUGAAGUGUACACUCAGAUUGUGGAGAGUUUGCAGAACAAGACUUUCAUCGUUACAACAAUUCUCAGUUCACCGUACUGCAUGAGGAAGGACUCCAGUGAGAAGCUGACAGGCAAUGCUCAGUUCGAAGGCUACAGCCUAGAUCUCAUCCAUGAGAUCUCUAAGAUUCUUGGAUUUAACUACACGUUCCGCCUGGUGCCGGACAACCGAUACGGUUCACUCAACCGAGAGACCAAGGAGUGGGACGGCAUGAUGAAGGAAUUAUUGGAUCAGCGAGCAGAUUUAGCCAUUGCAGAUCUGACAAUAACCUAUGAUAGAGAACAAGCAGUUGAUUUUACGAUGCCAUUUAUGAAUUUAGGUAUAAGCAUCUUAUACAGAAAACCGAUAAAGCAGCCACCAAACUUGUUCUCCUUCCUAUCACCGCUCUCCUUAGACGUCUGGAUAUACAUGGCCACUGCGUACCUGGGCGUUUCAGUGUUACUUUUUAUUCUGGCCAGGUUCACGCCGUAUGAAUGGCAGAACCCCCAUCCCUGCAACCCCAACCCGGAUCACCUGGAGAACCACUUCAGUCUUGCCAACUGUUUGUGGUUCGCCAUUGGCUCGCUCAUGCAGCAGAGUUGUGACUUUUUGCCCAAGGCGGUGUCGACUCGGAUGGUUGCAGGAAUGUGGUGGUUCUUCACACUUAUCAUGAUCUCCUCGUACACGGCCAACCUGGCUGCUUUCCUCACAGUAGAGAGGAUGGACUCUCCCAUCGAGAGUGCGGAGGACCUGGCCAAGCAGACCAAGAUCAAAUAUGGAGCUCUGAGAGGAGGUUCUACUGCUGCAUUUUUCCGGGAUUCAAACUUCUCAACCUACCAAAGGAUGUGGUCAUUCAUGGAGUCGGCACGACCGAGCGUGUUCACAUCAUCCAACGUGGAGGGUGUGGAGAGAGUGACUAAGGGAAAGGGCAGCUACGCCUUCCUCAUGGAGUCCACCAGCAUUGAGUAUGUCAUCGAGAGGAACUGUGACUUGACGCAGGUGGGAGGUCUACUGGACUCUAAGGGCUAUGGCAUUGCAAUGCCACCAAACUCACCAUACAGAACGGCCAUCAGUGGUGCAAUCUUGAAGUUACAAGAAGAAGGAAAACUCCACAUAUUAAAAACCAGAUGGUGGAAGGAAAAACGAGGAGGUGGCUCUUGCAGGGAUGACACCUCCAAGAGCAGCAGUGCAGCCAACGAGCUCGGGUUAGCUAACGUGGGUGGAGUGUUUGUCGUCCUGAUGGGUGGGAUGGGAGUGGCCUGCGUCAUUGCUGUCUGCGAGUUUGUCUGGAAAUCACGCAAGGUGGCAGUCGAGGAACGGGUGAGCAGUCCCCUUACUUGACCUCUAACCCCAGACUUGGGGGACACUCCCAACUGAGAACGCAAGCGUAGGUUGAUGUCUCUUCCACGUCAGAAACUAUUUUACAAUGAAGGUUUUAAAGCUCACAAAAUAAAACUAUAUUUUUUUAACAGAAUUUUUGUAUUUUUCAUAAAUGGCUACUCAAUUUCUGUUUCUUCCCAUCUUAAGAGGUUGUGAUUUUUUACAUUCACUUACAUUAAAUUUACUUUCAGGAGAGCUAUUGUUGCAAUCAAAUAAUUUUAAGAGUUAUAUAAUAUUUAAACCUGCUAAUUUACCUAAAUCACGAACUUUCCAAUUAUAUAGAUAGGUUUUUAUAUAAUUUUUAAUAAGCAGUAGUCUAUAAGCAAUUUAUUAUAAGGCCUACUUACUUGAUAGUUUUCAAGCUGUAAUGGCAAUGAGUUAAAUGUAUAACUGUUUAAUCUCGUCAAGACUUGAAACAGAAUUUUCUAGUCAGAAAUUAUCUGUCACAACUGGCACAUAUAUUUCACCCUCUGAACAUAGUAUUUAGUAAUUACAUUAAUAAAUUUUAUUAUUAAAUGGUGUAAAUAGUAUAAAAAAUACUUUAUAGCUAUUUCUUAAUACAAUGGUAUGAAACGUUUAGAAGAAUUAAUAAUCAAUAGUUAAAUUUUUAUAGAUUUUCAAUAUUAACAUUAAUUUUUAAUUAUUAAUUGAUAGAAGCAUUGUUAUAAUGUGGGCAGAUAAUCAAACUAAAAGUUUGUACAUGAAACAAAAGUUCUGUUCAAAUAUACCUUGCACUAUUUGAAUAGAGUGUAAUGUUUGAAAUCUCAUUGGACAAUAAACCAUUUCUUCUUAUUUUUCUUAACUUAAUGAUGUACAAAGUUCAUUUUAAAGCAGUAAAACUGUUAUUAUGAUGUUUUGUUACAAUAAUUUAUACUAUUCAAUGCCAAUUACAUGACUCUGGGCUGCUGGUUUUUGUACAAACAGUCAUUUGCAUUUUUAAUAUUACUGUAAAAUUAUUAUGAGUGGUAACUGUCUGGAACUGCAUAAGAAAUAAUAUUACACUUUUUUUAGGAAAUAAAACGAAUAUAAAUAUUACUUUCAUUUUUUCACUAUUACAAUGAUCAAAGUUUUAAAUGCUUAGUAAAUUUGGGUUUAAGUUAAAACUCUGAUCCUACAGUUGAUUACUUUAUAUCAAACCGUUCGCAUUCUUCCAAUAUUUUUGAUUAAAAAAUGUCGUUAAAGAAGAUAUUGUUUAUUUUUGUUGUAUUAUACAUAAAUUAGCUUUUCAACAGCUUUUUACAGUAAUAAUCUAGAAUUAUAACUUAUACACUAAUUGUUAUUCUAUAUUUACACCCUUAAAAAUAUAUCAAAAUUACUUUAUGUCAAAUAUUUAUUUGGCAUUACCAGUAUAGAAGUGGUCUUGACAGUGGGAUCAGCUUUUCAUAAAACUACAUAGAGAAUCUACAUCGAAAAACAAAGAUAAUUUUACUAAGGCUCCAUUUGCUCAACAUAGUAAGUAACCAACUUCUACAGCCACAUAGUAAACAACACAUCUGCAUCUUUACUAUCCUAAGUUAUUUUGAAAAAAAAACUACUUUUGUGAUAAAUAUUACAAUUAAUUAUUGAAUGUUAACCUUUAAGUGGUACUAUAAAGUAAUCACAAUCAAUUGUAUGUACAUAAGAAUAAAACGUUUAAUAAUCUUUCUCUGUAUACUGGAGUAAAUUUUUAUAAUAAAUAUUUGUGGUGGUUAAAAUUCAUAUGGCUGUUUAUAUUGAUGUGGUUAACUCAUAUUGUAAAAUAUUAUUGGUUUCCAGUCUAUUAUUAGGUAACUAUAAUACAAGUAGAGGUGGAUAAACAAUACACUGUAUUGUGACACAGAAGUAUAUUAGUACACUUGACUGGACGAAAUAUUUAGCUUUACUAUGCAAAAGUGUACCAGCAUGCAUGCAGCAGUAUAGAAAUUCAAUGCAAGCAGUCUAGUUCAUUGAUUAAUUCUGUCAGUAUAUUUACACUUGCAGAGUAACAUAGGUGUCUGAGGCUGAUAUGGUAAACCCUUGUGUCAUGACAUGACAGUUUGCUUAAAAGAGGGAAUAACACCCCAUAUGCUACACAAUUUGAAUUGUAAUUUACUUGGUUGAUCGUACUAAUGCAAGAGUGUGAUAAAAAUAAAUAGGACUUCUGUUUCCACAGCUAGUAUAUUGAUGUAUGGUGUCUAUGAAGGAAUACAAAUGACCGGAUUUCAGAUUUAAAGGAUACAUCUUAGUUGCAUACUAUAAACUAUGUACAAUAUACAAAAUAAGGUAGAAAGUUUCUCAAUUUUGUCACUAUUUUCCAUUUGGGGAGUAUAGUGGGGAUUCCAGGUACCUUGCCAAAAUCCAUUUUAAGCCUUUCAUUAGAAUUUAUUCAAAAGGCUUCAGCAAAAAGAGAUUCCCUAAUCUUUUUGAUUUUAAAAAUCCAUGAAAUAUGAUUUAUCAAUUUAUAGUGAAAUAUAGAUGAUCUUUAUAUUUGAAAACACUUUCCACUCGAGUUAGACAAUAUCCUAAAGAAAUAUUGUAUGUUUAAAAUAUUUUGUAAUGUCUUUUACCAAUUUUAAAUCUAUCUACAAAUGAUCAAGAUUAGUCAGAUUAUGCACAGGUCAAGAUUUGGAGUCUUAAUAGAAAGGUUGUCUUUUGUCCAUUUGUGUUCUGCACAAUUGGAGAUGAAAUCAUUACCUUAGUCACCGACUUGAUGGCAAGCACAAUAGAGCUUUGAAGAUAGCAUUGCAUCUGUCCCUCUCAGAUCUCUCCAUUAAAAUCCUAUAAAAAUUGCAACGGGAGGUUGCAAUUCCAUUUACUGUAGUUGAAAAUAGAAAUAAAAGUUUGGUUUAUAUAUAACUUAUCCCACAUAUCCAAAAACUUAUGCCCAAAAUUUGAUUGAUAACUCCUCUUUGGUGAUGUUUACACAAAUAACACAUUAUUAAAAACACUUCACCAUAACCUAUAAUCAUACCUAUAGGAUAAAACUGCAUCCUAAGUAAGCAUUUAACUUUGUUUGUUUGUUUUGUUAAGUACAAAAUCCCAAAAGUUGCAUGAGAUGAUUUCCAAAAUGAGGUUAUCCUAGUGUUACCGAUGACUGUGUGAGUGUAUUUGGACUUCUGUUUGUGCCACCUGGAUGUUAACCAGGAGACGUCUUUGUGUUCUGAAAUGGCAACUGAGUUAAGGUACGCAUUCUGUUGCCACGGGUCGACACGGCCUGCACGCAAGAAGCCUCCGAUAGGUCCCUCUCCUAGCAUGGAGCCUCCAAGGUUCAUGCCUCUAGGACCC
rnacentral:misc_RNA from 1 species